ACGGCGAGUGAAGCGGUAACAGCUCAAAUUUGAAAUCUGGCCUCACGGUCCGAGUUGUAAUUUGUAGAGGAUGUUUCGAGCAUGGUCUGGCCUAAGUUCCUUGGAACAGGACGUCAUAGAGGGUGAGAAUCCCGUAUGCGGCCAGGUGCCUACGCUCAUGUGAAGCUCCUUCGACGAGUCGAGUUGUUUGGGAAUGCAGCUCAAAAUGGGUGGUAAAUUUCAUCUAAAGCUAAAUAUUGGCCAGAGACCGAUAGCGCACAAGUAGAGUGAUCGAAAGAUGAAAAGCACUUUGGAAAGAGAGUUAAACAGUACGUGAAAUUGUUGAAAGGGAAGCGCUUGCAACCAGACUUGCGCGCGGCUGAUCAUCCGGUGUUCUCACUGGUGCACUCGGUCGCGCUCAGGCCAGCAUCGGUUUUGGUGGUUGGAUAAAGGUCCUAGGAAUGUGGCUCCUCUCGGGGAGUGUUAUAGCCUAGGGCGCAAUGCAGCCUACCGGGACCGAGGACCGCG
rnacentral:rRNA from 1 species